rnacentral:tRNA from 1 species
GGAGAGGUGGCCGAGCGGUCGAAGGCACUCGCCUGCUAAGCGAGUAACUGGUGUAAAACUGGUUCACGAGUUCGAAUCUCGUCCUCUCCGCCA